GGGGGGCGGCGUGGAUUUCAGAGUCGGGGGGUUUCAGCUGCGUCCAGCCCUGUUUGCAUGUGCGGGGCCGCGGCGAGGAGCCUCCGCCCCCCACCCAGUUGUUUUUCCGCUCCUGCCUCUGCUCGGCGGCGGCGGCGGCGGCGGCAGCAUGGCGAGCCCUCCGGAGACCGAAGGCUUCUCGGACGUGCGCAAGGUGGGCUACCUGCGCAAACCCAAGAGCAUGCACAAGCGCUUUUUCGUGCUGCGGGCCGCCAGCGAGGCGGGGGGCCCGGCGCGCCUCGAGUACUACGAGAACGAGAAGAAGUGGCGGCACAAGUCGAGCGCCCCCAAACGCUCGAUCCCCCUGGAGAGCUGCUUCAACAUCAACAAGCGGGCUGACUCCAAGAACAAGCACCUGGUGGCUCUCUACACCCGGGACGAACACUUUGCCAUUGCGGCAGACAGCGAGGCCGAGCAGGACAGCUGGUACCAGGCUCUCCUGCAGCUGCACAACCGCGCCAAGGGCCACCACGAUGGGGCCUCGGCCACCGGGGCGGGAGGCGCUGGGGGCAGCUGCAGCGGCAGCUCUGGCCUGGGCGAGGCUGGAGAGGACUUGAGCUACGGGGACAUGCCCCCAGGACCCGCCUUCAAGGAGGUCUGGCAGGUGAUCUUGAAACCCAAAGGCCUGGGGCAGACAAAGAAUUUGAUCGGCAUCUACCGCCUGUGCCUGACCAGCAAGACCAUCAGCUUCGUGAAGCUGAACUCGGAGGCCGCGGCCGUGGUGCUGCAGCUGAUGAACAUCAGGCGCUGCGGCCACUCCGAGAACUUCUUCUUCAUCGAGGUGGGCCGCUCCGCCGUGACGGGCCCCGGCGAGUUCUGGAUGCAGGUGGAUGACUCCGUGGUGGCCCAGAACAUGCACGAGACCAUCUUGGAGGCCAUGCGGGCCAUGAGCGACGAGUUCCGCCCUCGCAGCAAGAGCCAGUCCUCCUCCAACUGCUCCAACCCCAUCAGCGUCCCCCUGCGCCGGCACCAUCUCAACAACCCGCCGCCCAGCCAGGUGGGGCUGACGCGCCGCUCGCGCACCGAGAGCAUCACCGCCACCUCCCCGGCCAGCAUGGUGGGCGGGAAGCCAGGUUCCUUCCGGGUCCGCGCCUCCAGCGACGGCGAAGGCACCAUGUCGCGCCCAGCCUCGGUGGACGGCAGCCCGGUGAGCCCCAGCACCAACAGGACCCACGCCCACCGGCAUCGGGGCAGCUCCCGGCUGCACCCGCCGCUCAACCACAGCCGCUCCAUACCCAUGCCUUCUUCUCGCUGCUCGCCGUCGGCCACCAGCCCCGUCAGUUUGUCGUCCAGCAGCACCAGUGGCCACGGCUCCACCUCGGACUGUCUCUUCCCGCGGCGGUCGAGCGCCUCUGUGUCCGGCUCCCCCAGCGAUGGUGGCUUCAUCUCCUCCGACGAGUAUGGCUCGAGUCCUUGCGACUUUCGAAGUUCCUUCCGCAGUGUCACUCCCGAUUCCCUGGGCCACACCCCGCCAGCCCGCGGUGAGGAGGAGCUCAGUAACUACAUCUGCAUGGGCGGCAAAGGGGCCUCCACCCUGGCCGCCCCCAACGGUCACUACAUUUUGGCUCGCGGAGGCAAUGGCCACCGCUACAUCCCCGGGGCGGGCCUGGGCGUGAGCCCCGCCCUGGCUGCGGAGGAUGCAGCCAGCGCCGCCGACCUGGAAAAUCGCUUCCGGAAGCGAACUCACUCGGCGGGCACCUCCCCUACCAUUUCGCACCAGAAGACCCCAUCGCAGUCCUCGGUGGAGUACACAGAGAUGAUGCCUGCCUACCCACCGGGAGGUGGCAGUGGAGGCCGACUGCCCGGCUACAGGCACUCCGCCUUCGUGCCCACCCACUCUUACCCCGAGGAGGGUCUGGAGAUGCACCCCUUGGAGCGCCGCGGGGGCCACCACCGGCCAGACUCCUCCACUCUCCACACUGACGAUGGCUACAUGCCCAUGUCCCCGGGGGUGGCCCCGGUGCCAGGGAGCAGCCGCAAGGGCAGUGGGGACUACAUGCCCAUGAGCCCCAAGAGUGUAUCUGCCCCUCAACAGAUCAUCAACCCCAUCAGACGCCACCCCCAGAGAGUGGACCCCAAUGGCUACAUGAUGAUGUCCCCCAGUGGCAGCUGCUCCCCUGACAUUGGCGGUGGGCCCAGCAGCAGCAGUGGCAGCAGCGGCGUCAGCGCCGCCCCUUCCGGGAGCAGCUACGGCAAGCUGUGGACCAAUGGGGUAGGGGGCCACCACUCUCAUGCCCUGCCUCACCCCAAACCCCCUGCGGAGAGCAGUGGUGGCAAGCUCUUGCCUUGCACAGGUGAAUACAUGAACAUGUCGCCAGUGGGGGACUCCAACACCAGCAGCCCCUCAGACUGCUACUAUGGCCCUGAGGACCCCCAGCACAAGCCAGUCCUCUCCUACUACUCACUGCCAAGGUCCUUUAAGCACACCCAGCGGCCGGGGGAGCUGGAGGAAGGUGCCCGGCACCAGCACCUCCGCCUCUCCUCUAGCUCUGGUCGCCUUCUCUAUGCUGCGACAGCUGAAGAUUCUUCUUCUUCCACCAGCAGCGACAGCCUGGGUGGUGGAUACUGUGGGGCUAGGCCAGAGCCUGGCCUCCCGCAUCCCCACCAUCAUGUCCUACAGCCCCACCUGCCUCGAAAGGUGGACACAGCUGCUCAGACCAACAGCCGCCUGGCUCGGCCCACGAGGCUGUCCCUGGGGGAUCCCAAGGCCAGUACCUUGCCUCGGGUUCGAGAGCAGCAGCAGCAGCAGCAGUCCCUGCCGCACCCUCCGGAGCCCAAGAGCCCAGGGGAGUAUGUGAAUAUUGAAUUUGGGAGUGAUCAACCUGGCUACCUGUCUGGCCCUGUGGCUUCCCACAGCUCUCCCUCUAUCAGGUGUCCACCCCAGCUCCAGCCAGCUCCCCGAGAGGAAGAGACUGGCACCGAGGAGUACAUGAACAUGGACCUGGGACCUGGCCGGAGGGCAACCUGGCAGGAGAACACAGGGGCUGACUUGGGCAGAGUGGGCCCUGCACCUCCUGGGGCAGCUAGCGUUUGCAGGCCCACCCGGGCAGUGCCCAGCAGCCGAGGCGACUACAUGACCAUGCAGAUGGGUUGUUCCCGCCAGAGCUACGUGGAUACCUCCCCAGUGGCCCCUGUCUGCUAUGCUGACAUGCGGGCAGGCAUUGCUGCCGAGGAGGCCAGCCUGCCCCGGGCCACAGCGGCUGCUCCUUCCUCAUCCUCAGCAGCCUCCUCUUCCCCCACUGAGCCUCAAGGUGCAGCUGAACUGGCUACUCGCUCCUCCCUGCUGGGAGGGCCACAAGGCCCCGGGGGCAUGAGUGCCUUCACCCGGGUGACCCUCAGUCCGAACCGCAACCAGAGUGCCAAAGUGAUCCGUGCAGACCCACAAGGGUGCCGGAGGAGGCAUAGCUCAGAGACCUUCUCCUCUACACCCAGUGCCACCCGGGCGGGCAACACGGUGUCUUUCGGAGGGGGCGCUUCAGGAGGGGGCAGCGGUGGCAGCGGCAGUGAGGAUGUGAAACGCCACAGCUCUGCUUCCUUUGAGAAUGUGUGGCUGAGGCCCGGGGAGCUGGUGGGAGCCCCCAAGGAGACAGCCCAAGUGUGUGGGGCUGCUGGGGGUUUGGAGAAUGGUCUUAACUACAUAGACCUGGAUUUGGUCAAGGACUUCAAACAGCGCCCUCAGGAGCGCCCCCCUCAGCCGCAGCCUCCCCAGCCUGUGCCCCCUCAUCCUCAUCAGCCCCUGGGCAGCGGUGAGAGCAGCUCCACCAGCCGCUCCAGUGAGGAUUUAAGCGCCUAUGCCAGCAUCAGUUUCCAGAAGCAACCAGAGGACCGCCAGUAGCUCAACUGGACAUCACAGCAGGUGCGUUUCAGGGUGUCAGAGUCAGAAGACAAACUGCUUGGAGCCUUGUGCCUGAAUUCCGCUCUUUGCCUCUGCUCUUUCCUGUUUCUUCCCACCAUUUCCUUGGUAGAAAAUGCCCUUUCAGGAGGCGGGGAGGGGCAAGGGUGGAGGGGGACCAGGGGGGACACAGAUGCUCACCUUGCUGUGACACCUGGCAAGAUAGUCAAUCAAAUGUGUCGGCACAGCCACAGGAGGGUUUUUUCAGUUGAGAAUUCCCAAGUGUGGUACUGCUGGUGGUAUUUCAAAAACUUACAUUCUGUAAUACCACUUCUGAGGUUGGCAAAGUUCCUAUAUAAAAUCCUUGAUCUCUUCAUUGAAAGGUUCAAGAAUAAGAACUUUCUAGGCUUAUGUAUUUAGAGAGAAAGACUUACCUGUGAUCUCUUGAGAAACUGAUUAUGGGUGAUGUUUUCUUUUUGUUCCUGGAGCAGGACUUAGGGUCCACCAUCUCAUAGGCAUGGCUGCUUUUCUCCGGGAUAUACAGUAAGCUGCAUGCACCUGGGACCCGUUAGGAGUUGAGUUAGGGAAGUUCAUCCCAUCGUGUCUCUUACUGUUGUCUCCCUCCUUACACUGCGACAUCCUGCAUUUGGGGGCUGCUGUAUAUCUUCUGUAAAAGUACUUAGCAUUUUUUGUGUUGAAGAGAAAGCACAUUAAGUCAGGGAAAUGGAGGUGGUUUUGUUUUGAACUGAAUGUAGGGGCUAAGCCGUGCCCUCUUCACUUUUAGGAUGUCUACUCCUUUAAGUUCAAGAGCAGCGGCCUCAGUGAAUGUCAAGAGUUGGCGUUAGGUCUUCUGUGGUUCAGGCUGUAUUGAAAAUGAAAAACACUUGUAACAGGACAUCAGCCUGCACAUCAUUCUGUUGAGCCUUUCUUCUGGUGGUCAUAAUUGUGGGAAGAAGAGAGGAGUAUAGUUUGCAAAUAAUGUGAUGAGUUGGCAAUGUGGAAGUUUCCAGCAUUUGGAAAUACUUUAUUCUGACAAACUGAUUAUCUUGUGAAUUUUAUAAAUACUUUGCAGAAUGAGUUUAAAAUAGCAUUUAUUCUUCUUACUAUGUGUCCAUUCAUAAGAAAUUAAUUUGUGCCUUGGGUUCCUAUCAAUAGGCAUUUGUUUAUUUGGUCACAGUCUGCUUGAUUCUGUAUCUACUAUUUGACAUCUAUCAUUUUCUUUUUGUAGAAUAAAUUAUAGGUUUAUCUUUCAAACUAAGAUUUUAGGUGAUAUGUUCUAAAAUGCAUUUAUUUGAUCAGUAUUUAUUUCAAUAUUUGUUUUCAUAAUUCACUAGAAAAGAUUUAAUUAUGUAUGUCAACAUCAAUAGUAAAGAUUUUGGUUAUUCUCAAUGAUUUUUUGGGGAUUCUGGAUCUUUGUGACACCAACCAUUUGCAUUGUAAAGUGCUUCGUUUAUAAAGUAAUGAGAAUCUGAAGGAAACAAACCUAGCAUAACCAAGAUUGUGGUUUGAAAAGAGAUGAAAGAAGCAGCUAAGAAAUAAUAAGUAUUUCUCACCUGGCUUUUAAAAUCUGCAUAGGUUUCUUUUGUAGAGUAGAAUAAUGUUGGCUCUGAAGAAAACUGACGACCAGAUAGGAUUAUCUUCGUAAAAAGGUUUGAAGUAAUGCCUCCUUAUGUAGAGUAUACAUUAAAAAACAAAACAGAUCCUCCCCUACACCCCAGAUCUCCAGCCUUCUAUCCUUAGCUUUCUUAGGGAAACUUUGUAUUCUGGAGUGACCAUAUAAUCACAUCCCUAAUAAUCCUGGAGUCUCAAUGGGCCAUGCUUUGACUGCUCCAUGCCAGAAAAACACAAUGUGUAGUUGUAAGAUGUAAAGUGUGUGUGUGUGAGAGAGAGAAAGAGAGAGAAGCGGGGCACCAAAUGCCACCUGGCACGUUCACGUCCCCAGUUCUGCCCGCUGGUCUUUGCCCUGUUGAGUUUAAAGAUGUUAUUUGAUAGUUCUCAUCGGAAACAGAGAUCAGACUGGCAAACAGCUUCCGCUCAGUGCGCGUGUGUGACUUUCCUCGGCCAACAGCCGCCCUUGCCCAUGAGGCCCGACACAGGGCGAGAGGCACGAGGUGUGGGGAGGGGGUCCCUUUCUCCCGGCCUCUCCCUUGAAGCCCCCGGACUUCACAGCCUCCGCCUGCGUGGAGCUCGGGUGCCCGGCCUGGCCGCAUCACCCUGGCCUGCAGCCAUCUGCGGUCCUCCCCUCCGCGGCCCGUCCAGCUUCGCGCGGAGGGGCCGGACCCUUCCCGGCUCCUCUCCCCGCCCAGCGCCUGGCCCCUUUGUUUCCUGCCUCUUCUCUCCUGCUGCUUUUCGGGGUUUCCCAGCGUGCAGCCCCCGUGACCCGCCCUCUGCCCAGGAGGAAACUGCGGAGAGUCCGAGGAGGGCGCGCCGAGAGGGGGCCUCUGGGCCGGAGCGGACGCCAGCGUUCACCUUUCAGUUCUGAGACGGCGGCCGGGCACAUGGAGCAGGCUCCGGCGGAGCCGCAGACCCGAGCCAUCCCGUUCGGGUUUUGUUUUUUUCGGCUUUUGUCAGCGCCCUCCCCUCUUAAAAACAAGAAGAAUUUGGCCUUGUCUUUUCCUGUGUCUCUGCCCCCUUCCUGUGGCUCCAAGGAUUCCAGAUCUCCACGACCACCUCCCACCCGCCCCCUCGCUGUGUGGCCUUUGCAGUCCCUCUCUCGGCCCUGGCACCUUCCCUCUUCCCGGGUCACCUCCGCUUCCUGCAUUCCUCCCUCUCUAUCUGGCUCUCGCCUUCCCCGUCCUUCCUCCUAAGCCCCCUCUGGCCCGGGGCGGGGGCUCUGCAGCGAGGCCGCCCGCUUGUCUCCAGCCCCCGCCCGCCUCGGGUCGUCCGGGGCGGCCGGGCCCCUUCCCGGGCCGCAGGGUAGUAGGCGGCGGCGGCGGGGUGGCCACGAGCCCCUGGCGGGCGGGGCGGCCGGGCCGUGAUUGGCCUCCGCCAGGACCAAUCAGCGCGAGGAAUGGCCGAGCCGCGGCGGGCGCGGGGCGGGGGCCUGGGUCCCGGGGUCGGGCUGAGGGCGGGGCGGAGAGCGCCGCCUGCACCCGGAGUCCCUGCGGAGCCGGCGGAGCUGAGCCAGGUCCUCCCCGCCGCCCGGCCCCCCGGCAGGAUGUUGUGCACUCAGCCUCAUUCGUGCAUCUAGAGCAGAAUCCCAAGAAUGAGAAAGUCCAACCAGCCCUCUGACAGAGGCCGGAAACACAUACUUCCUCUGCUUUCUAAUUGAGAAAAACCCAGGCCGUGACCAUGUGACGGGCCCCAUUUUGUCUCCCUCUUGGCUUUACUAUGGUUUACUAUGAACCCACGUCUCUUUAUCUUCCUGCUUUGGAAUCCGCCACAGCACGUGGUUGUACCCCGGCGAGGGGCGGGGAGAAGACACAAGUGCUGUAGCCACGAGCUUGCUUUUUGGGGUCAUUCGAGGGGGGAAAAGAACUUGGCCUGCAGGUGCCCCAGGCUCUGAGCACAACCCUGAGACCCGCUGUUUGCAGAGCGCUUGAGCCUGGUGAGCACCGGCGGAAGGGACACUCGCAGGCUGUGGGGACACCCAGGGUUUGCCAGGACGAGAGACCCAACAUGUCCAUGACCAGGGGUCCGGAGAGGUUUGCAGGAAACACUGCUUAGAUUUCCAAACAGGCGUUUGAUCUUUGACCAGUGGUGGCCCAGCUGCUGUUGAAAGCUCCCUGGGUUUCUGGGGUUCACCCUCCGGUCACCAAAGUUAGGUGGGGAAUACUCCUAGGUGGGGUGGCAAAUGUGUUCAGAGCUGGCCUGCUCAGGAAGCAUUCCCUGCACCUCAUCCAUGGGAAGAAGCCUUGCUCACCAGCCGCAUGGCGUAGAGGCCACGGAGGCAUUGUCCUCACCGGCCUGCGCUUUCUCCCACCCGGGUACCCAUUGGAACAUCCUCGGUGAAAACGGAACUGAACCAGCACUGCUCCAGUGUUGAUGCCAGAGAGAGCCUCCUGGCUUCUGUGUUGGUCCAGAAAAUUCAGAGCUUCGAACCAUCUUUCAAAUUUCUACCACUGUUUAGGUAGCUUUUUAUGUUUAAAAUAUACAGUCCUGCUACUGUAAUCAUUUAUCUGGGUGCCCCCUAAAUACAUACUCUCUCCAGUAUUGCGUUAAAGGAAGGGCCUUGAAGUCUCUGGGCGGGGGGUGGGGAUGGGUGUUUAUCAAAAUUCCUGGAAAAUAGCUUUGUGCUAUCUUGAAUGAUGCAAUGGAAAAGGCAAGGCCUGGGAGCCAGAGAGCUUGGGUUCUAACACAGCCUGUGCCCUUCCCCAGCUCAGUGACCUUGGGUGAGUCACUUAAUUUCCCUGGACCUAUUUCCUCAUCAGUAACUUGAGAGCUUUGUUCUCAAUUGUUCUAACCUCCUUUGCAGCUCUAAACUUAGGAAUGUUUUGGAGAACAUGACAGAUAUUCUUUAAUGGGUCAGUUGUAAUGAGGAUUCUUUCUGAAGAAGCUCUUGACAGGGCUUAGUAAAACUGCAUUGGAAUAUCCUGUUUUGUCCUGUUCUAGCCGUUGGAUCAGACACUGUUCAUGGCCAGACUGGGGUCUGGUAGGGAAAUGGUCUGUUUGGUUCAAGCAUGAUUUCAAACUUUCCUAUUUGGAGGGGACUUUAGUUUUAACAGACCCGAAGACAAACCUUCCUGACUUCACCUAUCUGUUUUUGGAAACAUCUAGACUCACUCUCUAUUCCUCACUUUUUAAAAAUAAAAGGUAUGUGGGAAUGCAAGUCACCUGCUCAUUCCAGCAUCCCAUGGGCCACCGUCAGAAGCAUCCCAAAACCGCAGAAUAGAUGAAGCUUUAACCAGUGCAUGUCCCUGACACUCUUCUAUGUUUACUGUAUUAGAAUUCACUCCUUCAUGUGGGUGGUCUGUGAAUGGAUAAUGUCUCUCAUUUGUAAGGCCAGAAUUCUCCAGUGAGGUAUCUGCUUAAUGGAAAGGAAAUCUGAGAAGCCAACUAGGGACUAGAGGAUGUCUUACAUGAUUUUUGGUUUAGUUUUAUUUUUCCCUACUAGAUGGGUGAAGUAGCUUCAUAUAUCACUUGCUGGCAAACUUAGUGUUGUACAGCUUUUUGUGCUUUAGGAUUUUUGAUUGGUUCCUUGAGCUGUUUUGCUUCAGUGUCACUUUGGCUGUUGAAUUGCCAGUGUAUUCAGAAGCUUCACACUUUUCCCACCUCUGUGUGAAUUUCAUACAUCAUUAGAAAAGUGUGUGAACUUUUUCAUUCAGAACUCCACUGACUUUCUCUUUUCCAGUCUGCCUAGUAUAGUCAGAUUUCUUAGCUGAAUAGCAUAUAAAGAGUUCCUUUUAUUUGGUGGGUUAGUAAUUGAGUAUAAUGGAAUGCUUCGCAAUCUUAAGGUUUGGUCUGGUUUUAAAGAAAGCCAUUUCCUCAAUUAUUUCCUCAUGUUAGAGAGUUACUGGAAAUUGUAUUCAAGGAAAAUAUGUGUAUCUCCUUGUGAAUUUCAUUACUUUUGUUAUCCUAAUGCUUUUUUGCAUGUAAGGUUUAUAAUUAUGUAGUUGAUUUAUUAUUUCAUUACCUUGUGAGUGUAUAGCUAUGUGACAGACUUUAAAAGGCUUUAAAAAUGUUAUUAAAACAUGGUCAGAAUGGUAAUCAUAUUGAAUUUUAAUUAAACAGAAUUAUGUUUUAAUAUUGGUAUGGUAUAGUCAUAAUAUACUAAUUUCAAACUAAUAUGAAAUAGUUACUAAGAGUUAUUGUAAGGGAUGUAUAAAUGAUAGGCUAGUAAGUAUUAUCUGUUGGCUUCUAUUCUUAUCUUUACCUUAUGGAAAUGGCAGUAUCUCUCCCAUUUUUAAUUCACAGAGAAAGGAGGAAGAUGGAUUAGGUAAAUGUAAGAUACUGUCAUCCAUGGUGAAAAGAACAUUCUCUGUUUUAAUAACAUUCUUGCUGCAGGCUCUGCUAUAAUCUAUUGGUUGAAAUACAUUUGGCUGGAUAAAUGUUAUUUGUGCUUCCUGAAUGAGUCAGUGCUCUUUGAAUAACAGAGCUUUUAAAAGUGAUGUGUUUAUGUUGAAAAGGCUACUUUUCUUUUUUCAACCCCUUUUCUGCGUUUUCAUUCAUGGUGGUAAUGGAGUUGAAUAUGUGGGUCAGACUGCAGUUUUGGUUGUAUUUGUUUAAACAGAGAGGAGAUGUGGGGGUUUUAUUACCUUGCCCUAAAUGCUUUACUGAGUAAGCUGAGUUGCAUUCACUGAGUUUCUUUUGCCCUUCUAUGCGUGUUGUUUGUUUUAUUACAUGUUACAUAUGAAUUCUAUCCUUUUUUCUGUUGACCAAAAAGUACUUUGAUGUGAAUUCUCUGAUCCUCCCUGACAUAUUUAGGUCAUGUUGCUGAACAGGAUCACAUAAUUUUGAGAAGUUCAUAGUUGUAUUAUGUUUAUGGAAAUGCUCAAAGUAGCAUUAUUUUUUCAAGUGUAUAUAGUGUGGCCAACAAAGUAUACUUUGCACAGAAAAUCAUGAUUCUUGCUUUUAGAAAGGAUAGUAUCUAAAUGAGACAGGCAAAAUUUAAAUAGUUUUAAAAAAUUUACAGUUAGUACUUACUUGAAAGUCUAGAAUAUUUUGUUCCUAUGUAGUCUGCUGUCAUUCAGUGAUCUUCUUUGAUCACUUCUGUGGUCCCUUAAAACUGUUUGCAAGGCUCAUAAAAUAAUCAUAUUUACCCUUGAACUUUAGGGGUUGUUGAAAUAAUCAGAAGAUUAGUGACUCCAGUGCAGUAUUAGAGAUUACCCAGCUCCCAAACCCAACAUGAAUUGUCUACCCUCGGAACCACUAUUGUAUUUUUCCUCACCCCCCCUUUACCUCAGGAAACAUAUUUGAUCACAUAUUAUGUUCCAAGUAGUAUAUGUUUUGUUGAAAGAGAAUGAGUAGAUACAUGGAAAUAAAGGAAAAAAAUGGGAGUAUGGGAACAUCACCAAGUAUUUGUCAAGUUUCUUAUGACACAAUCUAUCUGAGAAAAAGAUAAAAAUCAAGAUCUGAAACAUAUAUGAAAGUUGGAGUUUUCUACAAAAGUAUAGGGCAAAAGUGCCAAGCUAUCUUAAGAUUUUGUGCUUUUCUUACUCAUUUUAACGAAGACAUCUUGCAUGACAACACCAGCAUACCAAUUAUUGAUAGGUUUUUUUGAAAAUAUCAUUUAGAAGAAAGACCCAUUUCCAGAUAUUAAACUAGCAAACAUAACAUUGGCAAGAAGCAAGAAGAAGAUAUCUUUGCUUUUGAUCUUUAGUUCAAGUGAAGCAGCUAGAAGAGGAAUGGGGAUUGAAUGUGAAAUUAUUAUGGGUUCAUCAGUAUUAGAAAAAGUAGGAUGAGAGUGGGGUCUCCAAAAGAAAUUUUGAAAUCGUUUCUUUUGGGUUUAGGUUUAUUAUUCAAGGGUCCCAUUUUCCCCUUUUGGGUGAGUGGUUUGUUUAUUUGAAAGACUAGAGAGAGAGAAUUGCAUUCACUAGUUCACUCCCAAAUGCUCAUAACAGCUGGUGCUGUGGAAGCCAGGAACCAAGAACUCAAUCCAGGUCUCCCACAUGUGUGGCAGGGACCCAAUUAUCUGAGUUAUCAACUGCUGCCUCCCAGGAAGCUGGAAUUGGGAGUGGAGCCCCAGUUUGAACCUUGACUGUCACAUAUGGGGUAUUGGCAUCCCAAGUGGUGUCUUAACUGCUGCACCAGUCACCAGUUUCAGUUUUUAUUUUUAGUCAUGAAAGGCUUUAACCUUUUGAACUGUACUUGCCUCUGGGUUGAAGUAUGAUUCUUAAAGGAGAUUUUUGUCAUUGCCCCUCUUAAGUUCUCUCUCUCUAUAUAUAUAUUAACUGAUGUGCAGUUGUAGUGGUUUUUAAGUGUAUAAUAGACUUUUUUCAAAAUAUUAAAAGCAGCCUUUGUUUAGACCACCAGGUUUUAUUAGAGCUUUCUGGCUGUGUCUAUGUUGUUUUUUUCUUUAUUUUUUUGAUAUAGGCAAUGUAUGCACAUGAUAUAAUUUUCAAGUGUUUAUAAAGACACAAAGAGAUUGAGUGAAAAAUAGGGGAUUUCCUAUUGUUAUCCUUUAGUCUCUCUUCUCAUAGCCCAUCAUCAUUAGUGGGUUAUUGUUUAUCUUUCCAGAAAUGGGCUGCUCAUAAAUUUUGAAGUUUAGUAAUAGAAAGUUGGUUAAAGGCUCAACUAUUCACAGUCUUCUAUGGAAUAAUAUACUCAGAUCCCAAAUUUCAGAACUGAAGUAGCAGAGCAGACAAAAUACAUUGUACAACAGACAGUGCUUUUUCACUUAAAGUUCUAUUCCUCUUUCAAAUCCUCAGGUUUUAAAAGUUUCCAGUGAUUAAUCUAGUGAAGGGGGAAAACAUUGGUUGAGAAAUUAUCUAUAUUUUCAACUUCCAAGUAUUUGUGCAAAUUAAGAAGAGAAGCUUAUUAAAAGUUUCAAACAAUACCAUUCUAAAUCUUCACUAUCUUCUUCUGUUCACUUUCAUGGUAGUACUCAGGCCUUUCCCCCAGCCCCAGCUGACUGACUAGUUCUUAAUUUAAUGUAGUAGGAUUACAUAAAUUAAAAAAAAAAUAGGUAAAGUCUCUGUUUGAAGACUCUCUGGGCAGUAAGAUCUUUUAUUUUUGUGUGCUCAAAGGAAUUAGUUUUUUUUUUUUUUAAUUUAUUUUUUUGACAGGUAGAGUUACAGAGAGAGAGAGAGAGAGAAAGAGAGAGAGAGAAAGGUCUUCCUUCCAUUGGUUCACCCCCCAAGUGGCCGCUACGGCCAGUGCUGUGCUGAUCUGAACCAGGAGCCACGCGGGUGCAGGGCCCAAGCACUUGGGCCAUCCUCCACUGCCUUCCUGGGCCACAGCAGAGAGCUGGACUGGAAGAGGAGCAACCGGGACUAGAACCCGGCACCCAUAGGGGAUGCCAGCGCUGUAGGCGGAGGAUUAGCCAAGUGAGCCACGGCACCCGGCCCAGGAUUUAGUUUUUAACUGGAAUAAUCUUUCUCCAUUUCAAAUACUGCUAGUAGUUUAUUUUAGACAAAAGUUUGUAUAUAAAUAAGGAAAUUCCAUAAUGUCACCCAUUUUCUCCAAAAUUACUGACACUAUACAAUAGUAGAAUUUAGAGAAUCUAUCAUGUUUCCUUAGGAAAUGGGUGUAUUGAUGGGGCAAUUUCUGUUUUGAAACAAAGAGGGACAUUUUUAAUGGCCAGCUACAUUCAUGACUGAUGCUCUAUUUUCUUGCUGAGUGUGUUCCAGGAAGAGUACAAAUGGACUAGGGUAGUGUUUCCUCUAAAACAGAAAGUUUCAAGAACCAUAACAUAAACAUUUAAAUUAGAAUGACCAGUGUUUGCUUAUUUUUGGUGACUUGACAAUAAGAGUAUGCUAAUAUCUGUAGUAUUGAUUUUCCUCCAAAUCAUCUAGAGUAAGGAGGAACAAAAACCCUCAAUGUAAAGGAAUUUUUUUAAAAAAGCAUUUUAUAUAUGAGCUGCAGUAUCUAGGUUCUGAGGUUUAUCUAUUAAUUUUUGAAGUGUAAAAUACCAACCCCAAACUAAGUGCUUUACAGCAUCCAGCAUGUAUUAAAUUAUAAUUCUAUGGCUGAGUGGAUUUGGGUUGUGUUCAGUUGGGUGGUUCUUCUGCUUGUUUUAUCUGAGAAAAUUUAUCUGAUUAUAGUCAGCUGUAGGGUUAGCUGGAGACAGGUUGUCUAGGAUGCCUUUCCUCACACAGCUAGUGGAUGAUGCUACCUGCCAGUUAGAACUUGUUAUUGACUGAGCCAUAUGUUCCCAGCAGGCUAGACCACCUUUCACAUGGUUUUGGAUGAGUUUCAGCAACAAGAGAGAGGAAGCAGUGAGUGCAAAAGUUUUGCUUUUUGAAUCUCUACUUACAUCACAUUUGCAGAUAUCUCACUGCUUAAAAUGAUUCACAUAGCUGUGUCCAUUUCAAGGAGUAAAAAAUAGAUACCAAUCUUGGUGGGAUAAAAACACUUUUUCUGAUUUACUGCAAUAUAUAAAUGCAUUUAUAAAUGCAGUUAUUUUUGUCAUUACCAAACAUUUGUCAGUUGCAUGUUAAAAAAAUCAUUCUUAGAUGUUUAUAAUUAAUAGUCCUAGUUUUGGGUGAAAUACAGUGAUUGCCUUCAAAUUGGGAUACUAUCAUUUCUUCCAUUUUAGUUUUUUUUUUUUUUUUUUGAAAAACAUGGACACUAAUAUUCCCUUAAAUAAAUCUCUUGGAGUUCAUAUUGUGUGAGCCAGGCUGUGGAGACUGAAAUCAAAGUGUUUUUGUCUUUAUGUCACUUUGUAAGGGAGGAAAGCAUGAGCAAGAAAUCAUAUUAUUGCAAAACAUGGUAGGAGGAAAAAGAAGAGCAAGGUCUUAUGAUGUGAAAUAAUGGGAACCACUUUAAGGCUAGAGGCAGAAAGUUUGAGAAAAUAGUAAAUAAUGUAAUUCUAUCAUUCAGAUUUAUAAAAGGAAGACAAAUAAUUUUAUAUCCCAUGUUUUGUGCACUGUGGACCCACUCAGGUCUUGGGAAGAUGUCUUUUUAAGAGUUAGAUUUCCCUCUUGAGAAUGCCUCUUAUUGGAUGAGUGAAGCCCACCUUGAGGUAAAACAUGAAGCGAUGACUAUUGAGGCUGGUAGUAGCAGCCAAGGUUGUCUUUAUUUUUAGUGCCAUUGUUGUUGGCUGAGACUUCUGCUGUGUCCUGGACCACAGGAUUACACUCUUCAACCAUCCUUGGCCUUACAUAGGGCUGGGACCAGGGGAGAUAUGGAGGGGAACCCAGAGCCAGGCCACACCUUCUCAUCAGCACUUCACCAGUGAAACUUUUUUCCACCCAGUUGCUAAUUAUUGGAAAUAAACACCACUGGUUUGCAACAUCCAAUUCAAAUCAAAAACAGGCAGUUCUCUUGUUAGCUCUUUAUGCAGCUCUCUCAGCCAGUAUUUACAUUAAAAAAAAAAAAGAUUUAUUUAUUUAUUUGAAAGGCAGAGUGACAGAGACAGAGAGGGAGAGACAGAGAAAGAAAGAUCUCCCAUCCUCUGAUUCACUCCCCAAAUGAUUGCAAACGGCCAGCACUGACCCAGGCUGAAGCCAGGAACCAGGGGCUCCAUCUGGGUCUCCCACAUGUGUGGCAGGGGCCCAAGUGCUUGAGCUCCCUUCCUAGGCACGUUAGUAGGGAGCUGGAUCAGAAGCAGAGCAGCCAGGACUUGAACCAGCAUUAGGGUUUGGGAUGCCAUUUUCUUUUUUUUUUUUUUUUUUUUUUUUUAACUUUUAUUUAAUGAAUAUACGUUUCCAAAGUACGAAUAAUGGAUUACUAUGGCUUCCCCCGCAUACCGUCCCACCCACAUCCCUCCCCUUUCCCACUCCCUCUCCCCUUCCAUUCACAUCAAGAUUCAUUUUCGAUUAUCUUAAUAUACAGAAGAUCAGCUUAGUAUACAUUAAGUAAGGAUUUCAACAGUUUGCUCCCACACAGAAACAUAAAGUGAAAAAUAAUAGAUGAUUUUUUUUUAUGAUGAUGAAAUCAGAUCAGACCUAUUGUCAUGUUUAAUCCCAGUGAGAGUCAAGUUGGGAGUUGAUAGUUUCUUUUCUUUUCUUUUCUUGCCAUUUUCACAAGCAGCAGUUUAACCUACUGCUCCACAGUGCUGGCCCCAUUACACUUUUCUUUUCCCAGAAUGUCAAAUGCUUUAAAUGUUCUUGUGGUUACAGCAUAAAACAAAAUGGGACACUGUAUGAAAGAUGGGGAGAGGUAGGGAAGGAGAGCCCCGAAGUUUUAUACAAAGUGAGUUGAGCAGUGGUGUUGAUGUUUGAUCUCGGCAGUUGCAUGCGGUCCUCUUUCCCACCCCUCACUCACCCAUCUGCCCCCCUUCCCAAUUCCAGCUCACUCUUUGAACCACAGCUAAACAAUAACUUCCUUUCAAAGCUGAUCCCAUUCCCUCUGGUUAGAUUAAGGAAUAUACAUAUUACACUUUUUUUUAAGAAUGGGUAAUGAGUUAAUUUCUGAAGUACUUUUACUUCCACUCAUAGGAUACCCUGAAACUUAUUGAGGGUAUAGUGAAAACUUUUCUGUUUUGCCUAAAUUUUCCCUUAUGAGAAUACUGUGUGUGUGUGUUUGGUGCUAGGGAGGAGGGUUAGGGGGUGGAAACUACAGUCCAAUAAAAAGAAAGGUUACAUUCCUAAAACUAGGCCUUUAAAAAUGUUUUGCAGCCUAAGCCUUUGGUCCCUCACAAGUCCCUACAAGGGACAACCUUCAGAAAGUGUGCGGGCUUGUUGUUUCUGAGCCUUUGAACUGAGUGAAGAAUGUGUCUCAAGACGGAAAAAUGAAUGGCUGGUGCUUUUAGCCUCCAGCUUGAAAGUCGCCUGAAGAAUGUUAUUGUGCCUUCAAAGCCUGCUUCCCACCAGGCUGUAUUAGAUGGGCUCUUGGAAAGCGUCUUUGCAUUAUCAAGUACACAACAAAAACCCAUGCCACCCAAUUCGAUCUAAUUCACUGGCUCCUUUUAGGUGGAUUUUUAAUUAAUGUCUUCUCUAAGAAGAGGCCCCUAUUCCCUCCCCACCCCUACUGAUAGGAUUUACUGCUGCUCACUAGAUAAGAAUUUUCGGGGGAUUUUUCCCCCUCUUCUUUUUUGUGGCAUGGAGAAUGCUAUUUUUGAAAAUAGUGACAGAAGGUAAUUAAGAGGAGCUCUCAGCUCUAAAAGGGUUCUGAAUGAAUUUCCAGCAUACAUAAGUAAAAUUAUAUUUACAAUGUAAAAUACGGAGAUGAAAACUGCCAAGGACAACACCUGAAGUAUUUUAUUAGCUGGGCUGCAGUUUAUCUAGGAUCCGGCCUAUCUUUCAGAAGGUUUACCCUUUCCUUAAGGAGGAUGGAAACCCCUGUCCUCCCCAUAGGUGCAGGUUUCAUGGCCCACUCUCCCAAAAACUUGUGAGCCAUUAUCCCAGUUGGUGUUCAAGAAACACUUGCCAAAUUGAAAACAUGUUUAUCAACAGUUCAUGGCAGAGUCCUUGAAUCAAGGAUGACUUUAGGAAAAUCCCAAACAUAAACAAUACUGGGGAUACAUUUUGAGGACCUCUUAUCAUUUUCUUCAUCAAAUAUUUUAAAAGUUAAAGUCAUACUUAAUAAUGUCAGAUAUAUUAAAAGUAGUCAAACAUGAUUACACAAGUCCUGUAAUCUUGUAUGACUAGAUACAAAAACUUGGAUAAAAUUAAUGACAACUUCAUCAUUUGUGUGUCUGAAAUCCCAGCAUACCUUAAAGUCUUGGAUACUCCCUCUGUUCCCCUAAACCAUUCUUUUGAAGAUUGACAGGAACGUUGCUUUGUUUUGACAAGAUUUAUUUCUUUGCUUUCAACAGUAGCUCAUCAACUUUUACUCUAUUAAUGUAGUUCUUCUGAUGUUAAUUGUAGCUUACUGAUCUAGGUCAUAGCACAGCAUUUUCACUGAGGUUUAAGAUAUCAAAAGCAAUGAGAAAAUUAUUUGAAAAAUAACUAUUAUAUCAUAGUUACCUCUAUUUUUAAAAAGAGGCCAGUUAUUAAGUUUGUGAUUCAUAGACCUCCCCACCAGAAUGUCUCUCUGCUCAUUCCUUUUUCUCCUCUUGGGUAUUUUGUUGCUAAUUAGCCCUUCUACUAAAGUAUAUGGGAAAAGUCUGGAAAAGGAAUUAAAUUUAAAUGAGCCAGUUUUGCCAGUGUGGUACUUAUUGGUACUCUGCUAAAAUGGUACCUUGGUCUAUUGCUAAAAGUUCAGAUUUUUCUCCUGCCUUCUCUGACUUUAUUUUACAGGCUUGAUUGAGGCUGGGCCAGAGGGAUGACCAAAUAAUAGAAAGUGCAUUUGUCAGAUAGUAGAGCUAUUCUUGACAUUUCAAUAUUAAACUAAAAGUUAGGAUCCAAGUAUUUUUUUUUUUUAAGAUUUAUUUAUUUAUUUGAAAGUCAGAGUUACACAGAGAGAGGAGAGGCAGAUAGAGAGGUCUUCCAACUGUUGGUUCACUCCCCAGAUGGCCACAAUAGCUGGAGCUGCACCAAUCUGAAGCCAGGAGCCAGGAGCCUCAUCCGGGUCUUCCCAUGUGGGUGCAGGGCCCCAAGGAUUUGGGCCAUCUUCUACUGCUUUCACAGGCUGUAGCAGAGAGCUGGACAAAAGUGGAGCAGCCAGGACUUGAACUGGCGCCCAUAUGGGAUGCUGGCACUGCAGGCAAUGGCUUUACCCACUAUGCCACAGCGACCGGCCCCCCAAGUGGUUUUACAUAUAGAAAAACACUUGGGCCAUAUGUUUAGUUUUAUUUGUUUUUGAAAGGCAGAGUGACCCGGAGAGGAGAGAGAGAGAGAUGUAUCUUCCAUCUGCUGGUUCACUCCCCAAAUGCCCACAAUAGCCACCCUUGGGCCAAGUCAAAGCCAGGAGCUAAGAAGUUUAUCCAGGUCUCCCAUGUGGCUGGCAGGAACCCAAGUACUUGGGCCAUCAUCUGUUGCCUACCAUAUGUAUUAGCAGGAGGAUGAUUAGGAACUGGAAGCGAGUCAAUCCCAGGCACUCUUACUUGCAAUUUGGGUGUCUUAAGUGGUGGCUUAACCUGCUUACCACAGGGCUCACUCCUGGGCCAUAUGUUCUUAAAGUACAGUAUGGGAAAUGUACCAGCACUUCAUUUACCACAGACCAGAACCGUGAUAAAGUAUAUUAGCACUGUGUGACUGUGUGAUACUUGGUAGGUAUUGAAUAGUAUCUCAGUUUUUCCCAUUCAUCACACCAUUGAAUUGUUUUAAUUGCUGAAUGUGGAGGUUGGAAGAAUCAUAACUGGUUAUGAAGAUCAUGGUAGCAAAUUCUGAAUCUAAAAUGUUUGUAGAUCAGACAGGAAUGCUAUGAUUAGUUAAUGCUACAGGGAGCUAGUGAGUUUCUACUGAAUACCAGGUAUAUUCUCAAAUUCUUGAGUUGCAAGUAAAAAGAAAACAGAUAAAAAUUCAACACCACUUAGAACUUCCUUUCUUGAGGUUUGGUUAAGUGGGAAGACUAUAAAGAACCAGCUUUGUCAGGGAACAAAUGAGAACCACUGAGUGAAGUAGCAAGGACUCCUUGCCCACUUUGUGGACUUAAAGGUUGCCAGCAGUGAUGUAUAUGUCUGAGUUUACUAAAAAAUGCAUGAUCUCCUCCUGUUUGGAUGAAAGUACAUCACUGGCACUCCUUGUGGCUUUAUUAGUCAUGACUAAAGCUACCUUGUGACUCACAAAUGAAGCAAAGUCAGGUAUUUCUGAUAUAAUAGGUCAAAAUGUAAAAGAAAAGGAAGUAAGAGUUGAAGUUGACGUGGUCUGCUUGGGAGAGAUUAUCUUAUGUGAAAGUCAGGAUUGGGAACAGGGGUCACCAGGAGUAGGAGAAAGGGUGCUAGGAGUAUUGAGUAUCUCCUGGAAUCCCUGAAAAGGCUGUUCACAAAUGUGACCAUAAAUGCAUUGGCCCAUGUAUGUGUGGGUAUCAUGAACCGUAGCUUAUGUUGCAGCUUUGGAUAUUAGUCAUUUUUGCUGGGUAUUAUUAAGAGUUCUUCUUUCAAGACUAUUAGGCAAAACUAGUAAUGUGUAUAAAGUAAUCCUUUCCAAGAAUUAUAUUUGAAAAUUUUGUUAGGAAAGUAUUCAGUAAUAUGCUUAUUCCUUGUACAAAAUGAAAGGCAAAAUUAAUAUCUUGAAGCUGUUCUUAUAUACAAACUUUUAUUUUCACGUUACUGUGUGUUUCACAAGUAAGAAUCUUCAGGCAUAUUCUUGUUAAAUGUGUACAUCACAGGAAGAAAUUCCACAAAUUUACAGUGAGGCAGUUCCUCUAUGGCUAACACAAAUCCUUUGAUCUAAGGUGAGGACAUUUCCCUUAUUGUGAAUUUAGUAGUGGUGACAACUGAUAGUCCUCAAGCCUUUUUUGAAAAAAUGACACUACUGCAUUGGGGUAGUUAAGUCAUGGCCUAGGACACCCACAUUCCAUAUCAGAGUGUCUAGAUUCAAGUCCCUGCUCCACUUCUGACACAGCUUCCUGCUAAUGCAUGCUAUGGGAGAAGCAAAUGAUGGCUCAAGUGCUUGGGUGGCCUACUACAUGUGCGAGACCCAGAUUGAGUUCUAGGCUUUUGGCGUUGGCUUCGCUGAACCCUGGCUGUUAUAAGCAUUUCAGGAGAGUGAAUCACUGGAUUGAAGAUCUCUGUCUUUCUCCCUUUUAAAUAAAAUUGAAAAUAAAUAAAUAAAUUAAAAAUCUACUGUAAUAAGGUACUAUAAAGCUCUAAAAACAAAAAUAGGACAUGGAACACAUUUAAAUAUGCAGGAGAUAAAAUGGCAAAUCAAACAACCUCAGUAUGUUACAUUCAGUUUGCUAAAAGAGGAAACAAAAUUAAAAAUGAAUUUUCAGAAAUUCCUAGAAGAAAUUAUAUAUAAGCAGCAAAUUAUAAACAUUUGUAAUUAUCAGACUGUGCUAAUUAAACUAAAUAUGACUUUCUGAGUUUCAAAUAUAUUCAUUGGCUGAAAUUUAAUUAUAGGGUCAGUUUCCUCUGAAAUAAAUUAUAUAUCAUCCAACUCUUAUUAAAAUAAUAAUUCAUUAAAUACAAUGUGCAAUUUGUAUAUUUUAAAUGGCCAGGAAAUUUAAAGAUCUUUGAAAAUCACUUGGAAAGCAGAAUACACACAUAUUUAUAUUAUUGCCUAAAUUUAUCUUAUCACUCAUUUUUAACUGAGUAGCAUUUUAAAAAUGCACUUUUUAUUUUAGAAGAAUGUCAGAUUUACAGUAUCCAUGCAAAGACAGUACAGAGAGUUACCUUGUACUCAGUCCCAUUUUCUUCUACUAUUAACAUCUUGAAGUAGUGUAGAACCUGUGUCAUGAUUAAUGAACCAGUAUGACACAAUAUGAUUAACUAAAGUCCAUGCUUAAUUCAGGCUCCCUCGGUUUCCCCCUAACGUCCUCCCUCCCCUAGUCUAGAGUCCUAUCCAGGAUACCACAUUACCUUUAGUUACCAUGUCUCUGCAGGUUUCUCUCAGCUGUAUCAGUUUCUCAUACCUUAUAUGAAAAGAAAUAAAUGAAAAAUUUUUAAAUAUGCUGUAAUUUUUGACUUAGUAUAGAUAUUUAUAGCAUUCUCAUUCUUUCCUACCAAAAUGGACUCCCAGGCCUCAGGGAAUCAAGUUAAUCAAGUUCCUUUGAGCUUGGUCAUCAUCUAUUCUGGACAUCCAGCAGGAAUCUGGCAUUGGCCAAACACUCCUGCCUGCUCUGGGCACAGAGUGGUUCCUACAAGGUGGCCCAAGCUUCAUCCCCAUUUGGAUCUGUAGUUUGAGGCAGGGCUUUCCUUGCUGGGGUGCAGGGAAUUGUUAGGUAACUUUAAGGCUACCCUCCUGGGGUUGCUGCCAUGAACCAAAGCAAAACCCCUUCUCUACUUCUCCUGGCUCAGAUAUGCUUUGGGAGGGAAAGCAGGCCACAAAGAUGUAUGUGUUUUGUUCAAAUCCUGGGACAUGAAAGAAAACAGUAAAAUUUAAGCCAUCAGUUCUCUCUAGUCCUAUUGCAUGUCUUCUUUCUAUUUAAAAAAGCAGACAUCUCUCUCUCUCUCCCCUCUGAAAUUGUCUUGGCUUGUUGUAUAAUUCUGGCAGUAAAAUUCCUGACAUACUAGAUCAUACAGAUUAUGGCUUGGCAUCAUUUUACCUGUGUAUGUGUGUGUUCUCUAUAUAUCUCACCUUGAGUUACAUGUGUAAUUUUUCAAACACGUUCCCUUAUAAUCAGUUUUGCUGUCUGUACUUGUUGACUAUGAAAGCUUCCAGAAAACUUGUUUGAAAAGAGAACCCAGAAGUUUCUGCAAACACAUCCAUUUCAUCGAAAUGAAUCUCUGCAUCAAGGUUGCUUUCAAAACUGUUUAAAUAUUAACUGACCUCAAACAAAUCAUAUGUUCCUUUGUGAACUGCAUACUAAAAAUAGGAAUAAACUUGCGUAUCUGCUCAUGGCCUUUACUUCACUGUUUGCAGCAAUAGUCCAAGGAGAGUUCUAUAGGUCAUUAGCUACAGACAUUUAUGGUUUCAUCUACUGAAUUUCUGUGACCGCUUGAUUGUGCACAUUCCAUACUGUCAGCAGAGUCAAGGAGGGAUUGGUAUUGUUGGACUAUAUUUACAGUUGAGUGCCACUAACCCUUCAGCGUACAUAUGCUGGGCUAUUUAUGAAACAACUUCAGCUGACAGCUGAAGAUCACAAGAUGCUAUUCUGGGAAGUGUCCUAAAUGUGAGGUUCUGUGGUGAAAACAAUUUAGUGUCCUGCCGAUAAGAAUACUUAAAACAGGAAGCAGUGGUAACUUAUUGCUUCCUGCCUAAGUAUCCUUAUCAGUAUGAUAAGCUUUAGGUUUCAGUUCUGCUUUCCUGAUCCCAAGAUUUCUUUUCUUGUAAUCAUCUUUUAAGAGGAUUAGGGAAUAAAAAAGGGGGUGGGGUGUUGGCAGGGGGAGGGUAGAAAAUUCACUAGCAUCAUUUUUUUCUUUGGCAAUAAGACCCUUUCAUUUCCUACUACUCAUAGUAUUUGUGUGGCGAAGAGAAAAAUGGUACACUACAGUUCACUCAUUCGUUGGCUAUAUCUAUUAUGUGUAGGUAGUAUUGAUUCUGUAAGUUUUGUAAUGCAAGAGACUUGGUUGACAGUCCAGUGAAGGGUUUAAUGGCAGAAUAGAACCAUGACAGAAUGGACAAGAAAACAGGGGAUGUGAGUUUUUAUUCCUGUUUCUGCCACCUCCUGAGACUUGUCAUUCUUUGACUUCAUGUUCUGGUUUAUAAAACCAGAGGGAAGUAGUCAUGCUUCUCCAGUCUGUCUUAUAAGGAUCAAAUGAUAGCAUAUAGGAAUGUGCAGCUGUAAACUGAAUUGUCUUUCAAGCCUAGGGUUUGUAGUGGGUUGAGUUACAUCCCACCAACUCUCCUUUCACCCUUAGAGCACAAGGGUGCUUUUGGUUUAUGUUCCUUCCUUAUUAAAAAUAUUUUUCAAAUUGAGUCACCUUCCUACAUUUCCUGGCUGCAAGAGUGUAUUAUGAUUGAAUGCCUGAAAAGAUGCAUCAAUGUUGACUCUAGUUCAUGGAGUAUGAGCAUGUUGUACUGUCAAAUUCUAGGAAACUGGGUUGCAUUUAUUAACUUGGCAUAGGAAAAACAAAGUUCUACACGUGGGCUAAAUUAUUUUACAAGCCAUAGGUAUAAAUCAGGAUUAAAGGCUGAAAUACAUUUAUUAAAUUUUUUAAAGGAGGCGUGCCCAUGCAUUUUAUAGUUCCUGUGGAUUUAAUUAUACACUAAAUAUGGAAAAUGAAAGUAUUACUGGGUAGCACUGAGUGUUUUCUUCUACAAAAUUCUUGUUGAUAAAUAUCUGUACUUUUUUACUCUCAAUCUUCUGUGGCAAUGCUGUUCCAAGCAGAGGGACAACCAUCUUGAAGAGAUGGGGAGAUUGAUGAAAGCCAACAGUGUGACUCACCUGUUUGCUCACUUAGUAAACAAACUAGAUCAGCUCUUUGAGGCUGGUUACAGAAUCUAAAUGAGGCACACUACUUGUCUCAAUGAAAGAAACCUUUGAAGACAGAGAAUGAGCUAACUCUCCUCCUGGUGUUUCUAACAUCUCACUGUUAUAGAAGAACUUUGGUAGUGUUGCCUGUGCUCAUUGUGAUGUUAGAGGUUACCCUACUUUCAUGGGGCAGAUCAGGCAUUUAAGAGUGAGUUCAUUUUUUUGGUCUGAGCUUGUGUUUGUCAAGAUCAGAAGGUUUUGGGGAGGGGUAAUAAUGAUAGGGUACAAUACAGAUGCUGAGAAGUUCGGGUCCCCUUUUCCUGUGAUGACGUAAGUGGUGUUAGCCAGUUACCCCAUGGCUCACUGGGCUCAUUUCUAUUCUAAAAUUGUCUAAGAACAUUUGACUGCACCCUUCAAAGAAAACGGCAAUAGAAAAGGUAGAGAACAAAGGGUAGAUUAAAAAGGGGUGGAUGUGUCGAACAGUUCUACAGAUAGCCCUUGACCAUAGUUAAUGGUUUAUAAUUGCCCAGGGAUCAGGAGUUAGAACUGUAGUUGUUUUGUGAUUUUGUUCUUCUCAUAGAGAGGAUUAUACAAGUUGUGUGUGUUUCUUGUUAUUAGAGCUGCAAGUGUUCUGAAAGGUAAUAAACUCAAAAUGUUCUUUCUACAGGUAAAUGGCUUCAUUAACUGAAAGUUUAAGUAACUUGUUCAAGACAAUAUAGCUGUUUCAUGGUAGAAUCAGAAAAAAAAUCCCAAAAACCAAAACCAAACUCUCAUGUUCUACUUCCAGCUUAGUGCUUUCCAAUCAUAUAGGCCAUACAUAUGUACAUGUCUUUAAUGCUUUAUUUACUUUAUAUAUGUCCAUCCAUCCACAGUGUAUCAUGGAGUUAGGUAUGCAUCCAUUUGUACUGCAGUUAUUUAUAUUCCCAGGCAGUGUUUUGGGUGCUGGAGGUAAGACUUGUACUCUGUCCUGCUAGAACUCAUGUGGCAGUGGGAGACACCAACAAUAAACAGAUGAUGGUAUUUCAGACAGUGUAAAGUAUUCUUAGGAAGACUCAAGCAGGGGACAGGAGUUUAUGCACAAAAUACGUGACCGUUAAUUUAUCAAAGAAGCUAAGUAGACCACAUUCAAAUUUAGUUUGAAUUUAUUGGUAUUGAAAUUGGUUUUGAAAAAUUCUGUCAGGCAAGAAGCCAUUCAGAUUUUCAAAAAAAAGUUUAGGAAAAAGUCAUGAUUUAUAAGAAUAAGUAAAAGAUUUAAAAGGUAGCUUGUUAAGUGAAAUUUCCUCUUUUAUAUGUAGAAUGUUUGAUUAUUAGCCCUGCUCAAAAAUGAUUUCUGAACACUGAUAAUUAACAGCCUGUGUCUAUGUCUUAACCAAUGCUAAUCAUACAGUUUUAAAAAGGCAUUUAUGAGGAGCUAGUGCUGUGGCGUAGUCAGUAAAGCCACCACCUACAGUGCUGGCAUCCCAUAUAGGCUCUUGUUCGAGUCCCAGCUGCUCUACUUCCAAUCCAACUUCUGCUAUGACCUAGGAAAGCAGUAGAAGAUGGCCCAAGUCCUUGGGCCCCUGCACCCACAUGGGAGACCCAGAGGAAGCUCCUGGCUCCUGGCUUCGGACUGGCACAGCUCCGGCUGUUGUGGCCAUCUGGGGAGUGAACCAGCAGAUGGAAGAUUCUCUCUCUCUGUCUCUGCCACUCUGUAACUCUUCCUUUCAAAUAAAUAAAUAAAUCUUUUUUUAAAAAAAAGACAUUUAUGAAUAUUAGGGUUUUAUUAGUGUCCCUCCCCCCUCUUUUUCUUUGAAACUCCUAUUUACUUUCUGGGAGAGGAAUAGAUUUCUCAACACCUCAAUUGCUUAUCACACAGGAGAGUAGUAAAACCGGGGUGCCACAUUUUAUAAGACUUGAAAGGCCGUACCUUAUAUAGUAAUAAGGCAAUUCAUUGGUGAUAUGUAUUAACAUAUGAAUGUAUGCUUAUGAUCAGUGAAUAGUCUGGGUUCAUUCAGAAAAGUCAAAUUUAGGAUGCCAUUCCAUUGGCCUCUGACUCAUUUUUUAUAUGUACUCUGUUUCCUGGAGUCAUAGAUAAUAAGUUUUCUAGAGAUAAUGACUAAGGGAAUCUUUUCCGUUAUCUGCCCUGUUCCCAAAAAGGAUAGCUUUGUUGCACUAUUAUAAUGUUAUAAUAAUAGGUUGAUAAAUUGUUGCUUUUUGAAUGGAACUUAAGUUUCUAAGUCUCCCAUGAAACUCUUUAAGAAGGCUAAAGUGACAUCUGCAUUUCUGGGUCUCCCUUCCAUGGACUGUUUGGUUGAAUGGACAGGACCAGAGAUGGCUCUAUGGUUACAUAAAGAAUUGAGUACCUACAUUGCUUUUGUCUGCUCUUCCUUGGACCUAAUUAUUUCAGCUUCCUGGAGGAAUUCUGGCUUGUGUUCUAGUGCAUCUGCAGUAGCAGGGACCUGAGUUGGAGAUGUGAUUAGAAUAAGCAAAAGCCAGAUCUUGGAGGGCUUACUACAUUCAGCUUUAUUCAAAGUGUGAUUGGAAGCCCAUUAAGAAGGUUGACAUAGAUGCCAGGAUGACCUACGAAGCCUACUAAGAUUUUUACUGGAGGGACAUUGAGUUGUUACUCCUCAUGCCUUCACUUUCAGCAGAUACAGUCAGCAGAGACCUCUUCGAUGGUAACUAAAGCCACCUUUGUCCUGGAUUUUCAUAGAUUCUUAUCCAGCAUCACCCAGGCAUGUUGUAAGGGUACCUCAAGGAAGUUUCACUAGUCUUGCUGCAGCAGUGUAUUGUCCUAACUCCUGAGACGCCACUUGGCCAAAUCAGGCUGUUUGGGUGUUGCAAUUAGUUUACUCCUAGUUGCAGACUGGCAAGAUGCUUGGCCACCCGUGUGAUGAUCCUUGACAUAUUCCUUGCAAAAAGGCAUGCUCUGGUUCCUUUAAGUUCAAAUCUCAAUUCUUCCAUAAAGAAUAGCUAAGGCAUAUCCUUCAGAGGUAGGAUCUUUGUUUUAAACCUACAACAUUCUACCUAUACUUAAUUUAACCUAGUUUUUAUCUCCCUUAAGUUGGUCCUUUUUGUUUUGGAAACCAAGUCACCUGACAUGACCUGUAAACUUAUUGGCCUUCAUUGUGACUUGCAUGUAUUACAGAACUCUUUUUUUAUCUUAAGUGGUUUUUAGGUUAUGAGAUCCAAAUUUAGCCAUGCUGAUAACACUUGGCUGCCAGUUGACUCGCACUGUGUGGAAGCCUGUAUGUUUUAGGAAGUACAGUAUUAGUUCAUUUUAAUCCUUUAAUCUUCUUGUAUGCCAGAUACUAGUCUGCUCUGCACCUACGUUUCAGAGUGUUUUGGGGUAACAUUUAAAACCCACAGUGGAACCAUAUGGCACCAAUCAGGUAGAAUGAGUUUGUUCUGACUUUUAUUGCCUUUUUUAAAACUUUAUUUUUACUUGCUUCCUAGAAAAUUUUAAUGGCUGGAUUAACGUUAACAGUGUUUCUGAUUCUGCCAUUUGCUCAUAGGUGUUAAUUCUGUGAUCAUUCUUGUUUGGGACUACUCUGGACAGCUGGCUUCAACACAUUCAUGGAGGCAUGCAUGCUAGUGCAUUGACGAAAUCAAAUCCCAACAUAUGGUGGUGUUGGUGGGGGGAGGUUUGGGAGAGUGAUCAUCAUUAUCUGAGUUCCUGCAAUUGUGAGGAUUUAGUAGGGAAGUAAGAGUUAUAAAAACAGUAGUGAACUAACCACUUCCGAAUAUUCUCCUUGCUUAUUAUCUUGCUGUACUUAAUACCAGUGGCUGUUCCUCCAUUAGUUUUAUUCAGUGUUGGAUAUGUACAUUUUGCAAAAUAUGCAGGAUUUCAUGAAGCUGAUGAAAGUGACAUGAGGAGAACUGCUUCUUUCACAAGUAAAACAAAAGCAAGGAUCUAGCAGAAUGGCAUGAGUCAACUUUUGAAGAAACAAAGAUAAUGACAUAGUAUUUCUAAAUGACUUGUAGCAUUGUAAUACUUAUAAAGUGCAUGAUAAAAAUUUACAGGACUAAGAGGGGGGCCUUGAGAAAAUUGAUAAAGUCAUCGGAUAUUUCUGUAGAAAUGAUUCUUUUGACAAUGUUCUGCGAAAACCAAGAAGUCAAAGAUAGAGCAUAAAGGAAACAUAAUCCCCCAAACUGAACGUAUUAUAUGUUCUUCACCCUAAAACUUUUCCAGAGAGGCAAUUAAAAUUUAAAUUUAAAGUAUGAGGUUAAAUAGCCUUUUUCAUAUGUCACUUGUUUUUCAGCAUAAAACUUCAGUUACAUAAUUUUUUAAAAAGAUUUUUAUUUAUUUGAGAGGUAGAGUUAUAGACAAUGAGAGGGAGAGACAGAGAGAAAGGUCUUCCAUCUGCUGGUUCACUCCCCAAAUGGCCACAAUGGCCAGAGCUGAGCUGAUCCAAAGCCAGGAGCCAGGAGCUUCUUCUAGGUCUCCCACAUGGGUGCAGGGGCCCAAGCACUUUGGCCUUCUUCUACUGCUUUCCCAGGCCAUAGCUGAGAGCUGGAUCAAAAGAGGAACAGCUGCGACUAGAACCAGCACCCAUAUGGGAUGCUGGCACCGUAGGUGGAGGAUUAACCUACUGUGCCACAGUGCCGGCCCCCAGUUAUAUCAUUUUAGUAUAGAAAUUGUGUUCAUGUUUUCAAUGGUUUCUCUUUAUAAAGUGAUCUCUUUCUGGUUCCAGUUAUGUCCAGCUGAGGAAAGCAUCCCACAAAUUUCUCUUAUAGAGGUGACAGAAGAGAGUCAUGGAAGGCCUUGCCUUUUCCUCACAAAUUUUUGCAAAGUAAAAACUGUAGUUUCUUAUUGCUUCAAAGCUACGAGGCCAGUUGUUGAGUAAGACAAAUUGUGAAACCAAUGUACUUCACUCUGGUGGGCCCAAGAAAAGCCAUUUGUGCUCAUGGGCGCUCAGUAGGACAGAAAGUGACAUUAGCCAAUUUGUAGAAAACAUAAAUAAGUUGUUAGUUCUCCAUAGGGCCCCAGUAGAUAUUCUCCCUGGCCCUUAUACUGGCAUUGGACUAGUCCUGAAGGAGUCUGCACGGACAGCACCCUCCGCAGAAGGUUGCUGACAAUAGUAAUUCAUUAAGAGUUUGUUGUUUUCUGGGCAGUAAUCAUUUAAAGGCAUUAUCUUUAAUUCUAAAAUUAAAUUUAAUUCUAAAAUUAAAAUUCUUGGUUUAGCUAAAUGGUAUUUUUCCUAAGGGGGUAGGUUUGAACAGAUUGUUUCUCAAGAAAGAACUAUGAAUUGGUAAAGCUAUAGUGUGAGAUUGGGAGAGAUAGAGCAGUCAUUCAGGUGGAGGACAAUGGAAGUGCAAGCAGAUUUUCUUGACUCUGAAGAGAAAUAACAAGGAAAAGAAGUUUGCACAAUAGAAUUCAAAGUACGGUAUUGACAACAUUCCUAUCAAUACUACCUCAGUGCUGUAUCUUAGUACCGUGUUAUAUCUUAGGGACCAGAUCAUCAGUGUCUCAUGGUACAUGAUCUUGUAGAAAAACCACCUAGGCAGCUCUGCAGCUUCUGAUCUGCUCACAAAUAGUUGAGCUGUUGACAGCUGCAAUGCAGAGAUAAACUGUACUAUGAUUCCCUCACAGAGAGGCUGUAGUGGUCACCAUCACUGUGAUGACUUUAACUUCCUUUUCUAGGAUCAGUAAUGUCAUCAUCAUUCAUUCCCUCUCCUUUUAUUCCCUGGUCUUCAUUGAGACCGAUGACAUUUGUUCCAGGCUUACAGGAGACUUCCCACAGCAAUUUAAAAAUCCAUAUUUACAAAAUCCUAAUUCUUUGACCCACCCCUUUAGUGAUCCUUAGGUAUUGCUAAAGGAACACACAUUUAUUAGGGAAAUAAAAUCUAAAGCAAAGUAUUAUUUAGAAAACCUGAUUCUCAGAUUGAAUGGAAAUGGUUCGUGGAGUAUGGUGAAGUUUAUCCAUGUACCAGUUUUCAUCAUUUGGCAGGAAUUACAGAGUUGUGUGUAGAGAUUUUCAUUUGAUUGAGAUUUGUUCACUUGCCAUACAAUAUUUUUUUUAAGAUUUAUUUUAUUUAUUUGAAAGACAGAAUUUACAGAGAGAGGUAGAGACAGAGAGAGAGGUCUUCCAUCCGCUGGUUCACUCCCCAGAUGGCCACACAGCCAGAGCUGCGCUGAUCUGAAGCCAGGAGCCAGGAGCCAGGAGCUUCCUCCGGGUCUCCCACACGGGUGCAGGGAUCCAGGAUUUGGGCCAUCUUCCACUGCUAUUCCAGGCCAUAGCAGAGAGCUGGAUUGGAAGAGGAGUAGCAGGGACUAGAACCAGCACCCACAUGAGAUGCCGGCACUUCAGCCCAGGCCUUUAACCCACUGUGCCAUAGCACUGGCCCUGCCAUAUGGUACAGAUACAAGUUUGAAUCUCUGACUACUAUAUUAUUGGCCCAAAGUAUAUCAUAUUAGGCAGGAUAUGGUAUACCCUGGGAUUUGAUAUAGAUAUCAUAAUGAAGGAAUGAAUGGCUUGGAUAUUGCUAAAGAGAAGUUUGAUUCAAAAGCCAGAUUUUUGUGAAUGAAGCAUUUAUGUAGGGUCCUUUCAGUUGAUUCGGAAUUAUUGUAAGGAUAGUGAAUAAUUCCAGAUGGAAUAAAACUUGGCUGAUAGCAAAGAAACCAAAAAGAAAGACCACAAAAAUUCUGAUACCUUGGCCAUUGGAUGAUCUAAUAUUUUGGGUUGCUGGUACCAGCAAAGGAGAAAACUAUUUCUGCUUCUGUUUUGCUUUACAAAAGCAGAUGGUAUCUUUUUAAAAAUACCCUUGAAAUUCAAGCCCUCUGGGUUACCCAUUUCAUUUUCUUGUUGGCAUUCAAAGGGGAUAACCACCGGGAUUGGAGAUGUGGCAUCUAUGGCACUUUUUGUGGCUUUUGUUUGUAAUAUUCUUGUCAUAAAUGUGGAAAGGAGCCUUUCCAGAGAGCCUUAAUACAGUACUCUCAGAAUCUUGCAUAAUUUUAGGACUGUAGAAACCACAACUUGGUAUAAAAAGAAAAACCCCAAAAAUGUAGUAAUUUGAAUAAAAAGGAUCCAAAAAUAGGACGGUAUGGGAAAUGUUGAGAGAUCCAUGAAUUCAAACUCACAAGACCUCCAGUGUAUUAGGCUCUCCACAAUGCAUUCCCUGCAGUUCUUCCAGCCAUCUUCCCCUCUUUGUUUUGGAGGCAUAGUCUUGUCUAUUUCCCUCUUUUGUGUUUCCAUUCAGAAGAGUAUUGUGCAGUGUUUCUUAUAAAAUAAUUUAAAAGAGGAUUAUGACCCAAACUGCUCUGAAGUUAGUUUUUUCCUUCUCUUCUGGGUGGUCAAAAUAUUUUGGAAAAAAAAACAAAUGCACACCUACUUAUACUUUGGCAGAUCAUUUGUCAGUUGUUUGAUUUACCUAAUUCCUUUCAAGGGAAAGUUAUUUUGUAUCUGUAGGUUGUUACUUUGUGCUGAUUUUAUGUUUAUAUGCAGCCCCUUAUGGAUCUGUUUUCCUGAUUUAGUAUGUAAUGUGUAGUUUUGCUCAUGUUACACGACACAUCAGGGACUGGCAACCCAGAGUCUGUGGGCUACAUCUAGUUGCCACUUGUUUCUGUCAAGGUCUGUUGGAGAAUCAUUUCUUUAUGUAUUGUCUAUGGCUGCUUUUGAGCUAUCAUGUCAGAGUUGAGUUGUUGCAACAGAGAGCAUAUGUAGCCCACAAAGCCAAAAAUAUUUACUAUGUGGCCCUGUAUAGGAAAAAUUUGCUGACUUCUUCACUAGUUAAAACUCUUAAUGUAAUGUCUAUAGAUGCUUCAGUAACAUUGCCAUGAUAGGUAAAGUUUAUAGUAUAUAGUGAUUUGCUCUAUUUGCCUUUCUUUUUUUGCAUUUUUAUGUUUUUAUGCAUUUAGAUAGUAAUUUCUCAGAAAGUAUAUGCUAUAUCCCUUGAAUUUUCAGUACAAUAAAGUAUAUAUAAUGACUUCCCAAAGAAUUCUAGACAAUGAUUCCAAGUCAGGUACCACAUUUGACUGGUCAAAGAAUGUGUUUAUAUUCACUAACAGCAAAGCUUUAAAUAACAUACAUCAAAGCAAAUUCAUAUGUAUAUUUUUCUGGAAAAUAACGAUUGUCAUUUGUUGGGGGGAAAACUGAACCUUAGGGUGCCUUCUCAUUUGUUUUUGGAGUGCUUCAGUGGUGUGCAAGGGCUGUGUUGAUUUGUUCAUACCCACUAUUCAUGACCAUACUUAAGUCUCUGCUGAAAUUUCCAAAUUACAUUCACAGAACAGUCAUGAGUAUUUCAGAAUUCAUGGUUUGUAGAUAACUAAGACAACUCUUCCUUAGGCAGAUUUGGGGUUUGGGAAAUUCUGAGAUCAUUAAAUACCUAUAAAAUCCUAGUUCUGUUCAAAUUUAAGAACCCGAAUCAUCUACAAUUGAGGAUUUUUUUAUGGGGACAGGAAAGCUCUUUGGAAGCCUUUUGAAACCUUGGCUGGUCUUUCUUCACAGUGAGUGAGAGUUGGCCAGAGUGGAGAAGGUGGCUGCAAGAAUUACAUGGAAAAGUAUAAGGAAUACAGUGGAUACUUUUCCAGCUUCUCCUGAGAUGGGACUCUUGAAAAUUUGCUAUGAAUGACUUAAACCUGCAGUCACCUGGGAUGUGCAUGGCACAACUCGGUGGUACUGUUUUCAUACAUACUGGUGUAAAUAGUACCCAUGUCAAUGUACCGUCAAAACCUCAGUCACACCAAUAGCCCAAUUUAAUACCAAAAUGCAUUCCAAAGCCAUUACGUUGUUGUUAAAUUAUUUGGAGAGCUGACUUUCACUGGUCUGCUUUGAUCGUUUCAACAAUCGUUAGGAGUUGAAAUUGUCUAUAUAAUCACAUUCCUGUCCGUAACUAGUUGGGUGGUGCAGCUUGAUGCAGAACCCAGCUCAAUUUCUAAGUUUAGCUUCGCAUCAUGAGCCAGCAGUGAAACCUAGAAGUAUUGGUUUUCAUGGAAGCAGCGUGGAAAACCUCAGCAACUCCUCAAUCCCUGCUGAAAUGCACAUAUGUGAGUCUGCUGCUCCAACGAGGACGGAGUUGUAAGAUUAGGUUUCACAAUGGUACUUUCACAAGAUGGGCCUUAGCAUUACGCGUGUAUGGUUCCAAGGCUUCUAGUGACAGUACCUUGGACUUCAGACAGUUUCCAUGGCAAGUUGUCAAGUUUUGUUCUUCCAGUAUUUUUUCAACAGUGAAUUGUUUGAUGUCUGAUAAUAGUACAUAGUUCAGGUUUUUUUUAAACUUAUUCUCACUAAUAGCAUCUGAAAAUAAGUAGAAGAGGGUCGUGCAGGGAUUAAACAUUUAGCUGUGUGUGUAUGUAAGUGGCUGCCCUCAUACGUGCUUGGAUUUCCAUCAGCUGUGUACUUGUUCAUCUUCUGCGGGGGCGAGGGCUUUCCUCUGACGUAGAGACAUUCCAGAUGGACAAGAGUGUAAAUGCCAGGUUACAUUUUUAGGGGCUUACUAAUGGAGCCACAGCAGAUUAAGAGGGAAAGAAAAGUACGGCUGCAAGUAUUUGUAGGGAAGUGUGGACAGGACACAUUUAGAUUUGCUAUCCAUGAGAUCUCCUUCUGUUGACAUUUUAUAAAGUAAUUUGGUGUUUUCAACCCUCUCCUAAAAGUAGAAAGGAGAUUCUUAAUGCUGACUUUAUGGGAAUAAUAUUUCAGGUAGCCUUUUAGUAAAGUCAUUGAUUGUUAAUUUUAAAAUUGAUUUUGUAAUCUUAGGGGAUCAAAAAAUGAAUUUAUGCACAUACAUUAAAAGAUCUAUUUGGAGGGUGGGCUUAUUCUAUACAUGACUUUUCUUUCUCAUUUAAGUGUAUAUGCUUCUUCUAAGAUAAUGCUAGCAGACAACAUUUCAAAGUAGUUUCAUGACUUCUUUGUUCAUGGCAUACUUGCAUUUUAUUGUGACUUGUGAUUCCCGUGAGUUUUCUCUACUGUAAGGGAAAUGCCAUUUAAAAAAUUCUAAAAAAAAAAAAAUGUUGUUUAUUGUCUUUGCAUGGAUUUUGAAAAAAUAAGUUUCUUGUUGUUUUUCAUUUAUGUAAAAAUAUGUUUCAAAACAUUUGUCUUUCUCUCUGUCUCUCUCUCUCACUGUCCACUCUGCCUGUCAAAAAAAAAAAAAAAAAAAAAACAUUUGUCUACGUUGCUAGUUAGAACUCUUCUUUGCUGACGUGAUCUUCACGUAGCUUUUGUGAAGAUGUGAGGUUCAUUACAUACUAGUAUUUGCUAUAUUAUAGGACGCUCUGCAGAGUUUGGGAAUGUGACUGCCUCAGCAGCUGUUUGGUGGUUGAUGGCUCAGGACAUUUGCCAGCUGCCAUGGUUCAUUGGGGCUAUGUCAAAACCCUUGAAACUUCAGGCUCUGGGAUUUAGCACUUAUUUGCCCUUUGUUAAAUGCAAGAACUAUGUUUAGAAGUUUGUUUGCUACAAAACUCCAUAAAAUUUUUCUCUGGACAAAAUGUUUUGCUUUGUGGAAAGAACUUUUCCACAUAGCAACAUGGCAUUAUAAAAAUCUAGCAACCGUAUCUCAUAUUUACAUAAAUAAGCUUUUGGAAUUGUCUUUCAAAACCACAUGGGUACCUAAUGAAUAUUAUAUGCUAGUUGUAACUUUUGUUUGUGUUUGAGCCAUGUAUAAUCCCCCCAACUCUCCAGAAAUGGGGACUUUUAUUUUCCAUGAUCCUCCAUUGGCCAUACUGAGCUGUAUUCUGAGCACCAACAGAAGUGAAUAUAGAAUUCUACAGCCUCCCUUGUUUGAUGAGCAUCUUUGCUAAAGAAUUCACAAAAAUAUCUUCAAAGGCAAUUGCUGUAUCUGUCUGUAGAGUCCCCAGGUUCCACUUCCUUGGACAUUUUAGGAAUUUAGAUUGAGCUGUGUCUUAACUGGCUAAUUGUGAUAUUGUUACAUUUUACAAAAGAUCAUUUAACCUUACCCUUCUAUUGCCACCUUUUCUUUCUUCUUAUUAACAUGAUGCCCUAUAUGUUUCGUUCUCACAUUCUGACAGCAUAUAAUUUAGGCACAUAAAGAUGUCUCUGAAAAUAUUAUAUAUCAUCACAGCCUCUUGGAAACCAAGGAAGGGAUCAAAGUAACAAUAUGAUUCACUAUAAUUAUUUCUGUAUCAUAUCAAAUUUUAACCCCUUAACAAGGAUGAAAUUUCAACCCAACUCUAAAUAUUCACAUUUAGAUGUUCAAACUUCACACUUUCCCAAUGUAGAUAAGCUUAAAAGUAAUAUAACAUUAUGCUUUAUAUUUUGAAAAAAUGGCAUUGGGUUUUCAUUUAUGGUGUUUUUUAAAAAUUUUUAUAAGCACUCACCAUAUGUAUUUGGUCAUGAUGGUAGACUAAUGGUAGAGUUAGUUUUCUAGCACUGUAAUAUUUAUUCUUCUGUCUCUAGUUCUUCAAGUAUUUUUUAAAAUAUUUGAAUAGUAACAAGCCAUUUCAUUUAUGUGGCAUUCAUCUACCAAUGCUAUGAAAGUAGAAAUGAAACAGCUUUCAGACAUGAAUCCUGAAAGGUGAGGUAUGAUUUUUCUGAGUUCAAAUUGUGUUUAUUAGGAAGGAAGAUCUCUGUCUACUUUUUAAUGAUCUCUGCUCCCUCUGCCUGUCUCCCUUUUCAUUUCACUUAAAAUUGGAGAAGCAGAGAAUCCUUCUUACAAAUAAGUAUCAGGCCCAAUCAUAAAUGCUUGAUGCAUUAGCAUCUUUUAUUGACUACAAUUAUAGUAGAUCUUAAAAACUAAAUACGGCAUUUUCAAAUGAAGCAUUUUUGUGUCCAGUUAACUUUUAUCAAUUUCUGUCCUAAAACACAUUUCUUUUACUUACGCCUACAUAUAUUUUGUCUAAUAUUUUACCAGCCUGGUUUUGAACCACAAAGUUCAUGGGGAAAUGUUUCCUUAGGGCAAAUUUUAAUGAAGCAUUUCCUAAAGUGUGUUUCAAAGGAUGUUAGAGUACUUAGGAUGACAUAAAAAGUACUUAUUUCCGACCAUAAGUUUAAGAGACGAAUAGCCAAGGCUCUAAUAUGAGAUGGGAGAGGUCAAAAGGGCGAUAUUUUUAAAAUGUGUUUGGCCACAAAACCUUAUUUCUCAUGGAGCUCAUGUUCUACAGAAGACAUUUUGGAGCUUCUAGUGUGCUGCAUGCCCAGGACUGGGUCUGUAAGAAGACCCAAACUCAGUGCCACCAAGAAUCCUCUAGCAGUUCAAGCUUUCUGCUCCGUAUUAUAGCAGAGCAGGUGUUGCUAAAUGUUAUGUGCUGUGGGGUCGUAUCAUAACCCAUUAACUGCAGUGCUUUAGAAGCAGUCAAAUAUGUUGUGUUUUGUACACUUGUACUUCAUUGUUGAAAGAAACAUAUAGAACUCUUUGGCCAUCUGUGUAAUGUUAAGCAAAGCUCUCAUUCUAUUAUAAAAGAAAAAAAUCUGUUUUUCCUUAUAACUCUAUUCCAGUUGUGGAUUGCAUCACUGAGUAUGACUUCAUAUGCUAUUGUAAUACAUCAGAAAACAUACUUGGGGCCGGCGCUGUGGCGUAGUGGGUAAAGCCGCUGCCUGCAGUACCGGCAUCCCAUAUGGGUGCUGGUUCGCGUCCCGGCUGCUCCACUUCUGACCCAGCUCUCUGCUAUGGCCUGAGAAAGCAGUAAAAGAUGGCCCAAGCCUUUGGGCCCCUGCACCCACGUGGGAGACCUGGAAAAAGUUCCUGGCUCCUGGCUUCAGAUAAGCACAGCUCUGGCUGUUGUGGCCAUUUGGGGAAUGAACCAGUGGAUGGAAGACCUCUCUCUCUCACUCUCUCUCUCCCCCUCCUUCUUUCUCUGUAUAACUAUUUCAAAUAAAUAAAUCAAUCUAAAAAAAGGAAAAAAAAAGAGAAAACAUACUACAGUUGAUUUAUAAAUGACUUGAUUAAAAAAAAACUUCCCUAUUUGCAUUCUUUUAAAAUUUUUAAAAUUUGAAAUGGAAACAGAGAGAAACAGAAAGAGACAGAGCACUCCCCAAAUGACCUUAAUAGCUGUAACUGAGUGAGGCCAAAGCCAGAAGCCUGGAACUCAAUUCAUGUCCUUUACAUGGAUGGCAGGAAUCCAACUACUUGAGCCAUCACCUGCUGCUUCCCAGAGUACGCAAUAGCAGGAACCUGGGCUGGAAGCAGAGCUGGAAUUUGAACCCAGGCUCUGUGAUAUGUGGUGCAGGCAUCCCAGGUGACAUCAACUACUAGGCCAAGUGCCUACCCUAUCCCUACUUGUAUUCUACAGGAAAAACUAGAUUGUUUCCUUUUAUUCAUCCUCAUUAAAUCUUGGGCAUGCAUUAACACUGGAGCCACUUCUUUGCAUGUCAAUACUUUGCCUUGUGGUUGCAGGACUCCUAUGUGUACAUAAUCUUCAGGAGGUUUUGAGAGACAGUGAUUCACCACAAAGGGAUGUUUCGCUCCUACAAUAGAGCAUGUGUUUUGAUUCAGUGAGGUCAGCGAUACCAGAUUUUAACAUCAGAACGUUCUCACUAAGAUGAGCUGGUGAUUCACCUUGCCUUGUACCUUAGACACGUGGGUAGAAGAUAAAUGGUUUCUUAAUGAUAAUUCAGGUCUGCCAAAUUUUUAUCUGCCUGAACUUAUUGACUCUCUUACCAUUGCUGUUAAUUGGCUGCUCCUGGUGGAAGCUGGCUUGUCUUAUAUUAAAACAGACCAUUCUUAGGAUGAAGUAAUCACUUUCAUGGGAACAACUGAAAGUAAGUACAUGAAGUUUGUGAAUGGACAUUGUGUUUUGAAGCCUUUUUGUCAACUACUGAUGCUUGAAUAUGCAACAAACCAGAACGUUGCUCCUUUCUCUCAUACAUGCAAGAUACAGGGAGAGGGAGAUCCAUGUUCUUAGGGGUAGUUUUUUGUUGGAACAGUAUUUUGAUAAAGGAAUUUUUACAAAAAUGGUUGUUGGAGUGGGCCCCCUCAGUUUCCUAAACCUGAGUAUCAAGAAUGAGCUGAGCAGUGUUUAUGGACAGUGCUAGUGAAAUGUGAGAAAGUUUUAAGGGAGAGAAAACACUUGUGGGGAGAAGAAUGUGAGAAGUAGGGGAUGCAGCGGCAGAAUGCCCCCAGGAAUUUCUUCUAGUGUCCUCCAGGCCUUCAGUGCCCAAGUUCAGCUUAAAAAGAUUUUUGGAUUAUUUUGAUUUGUUAAACCACUGAUAUCCUAGACUAUAUAUAGUAGGAAGCAUAUACUCAAAAAAGAGACCAUUUGAAAGGUUAUAUAUAUGUUUUAGAUUUUUCUGGGGAUGGUGAUAAUUAACACACACAAUUAUAGCUCUCUGUUGAGCCACUCAGAUCGCUUGCUGCCAGCUAGAAUAGUGUGCACCAACUUAGCUCUGUUUAUAUGUAAACUGUAUAAUAUUUUAAAGCUGGCGUCAUUGUUUUCCCCUUCUCAAAGUACAGCAUGUUUUGAUCUACAUAGGGAAUAUUUUUAAAAAGUGGAUGUCUAAGAAUGUAAACAAUCGGGAGGGGAGAUGCAGCUGUUUAUGAUUUGCUUUUUAAUCUUCUGUUCUUUUGUGGCUUCUCAUUCGAAGGACUUUUAUUUACCUAUUAUAGUGCAUGGCUUAUGACUUUAUAAGUAUACUUCUGGAUUUUAUUUUGCCUUUCUAAAUAAAGGCCGAAAGGACUGUAGGAAAGUAGUUGGAUAAAAAUAUCCUCGUGUCUACCAGGUCUUGCUGGAAGCAGCUGGGCACGGGAGCUAGCUCUGGAGUCCCGGGAGUGAGAAGGUUUUCUUUUGGGGGGAAUGAAGACCUAAACAACCUCAGCAAAUCCUCCUUUAACUCAUGGGUACCCAGACUAGUUCAUGAUUCACAACUAGGACCUCACAUCUUCCUCCUCAGUAGAUGGUACGAUGCAUCCAUUUCAGUUUGUUUACUUUAUACAAUCCUCAGGAGUUCGUUGACUGAACUGCACGUUCUAUAUUGUGCCAAGCAGAAAAGCACUGUGACACCAGGACAAUGACAAUGACUCUACAUAAACUUCAUCUUCAACCUUAAGGACUUAGCUGGCCGUGAUGAGUUGACAUGCCCACCACACGCCGUCACGGAGAAUGGGUUUCCUCUCAUCGCAUUGACAAGAUUCAUUUCAUCUGCUGCUGAAACUGUGUGCGACAAAGCAUUGUUGUAAAUUAUUUCAUACGAAAUUGUUCACAUUGGGUGGAGAGAGUAUUAAAUAUUUAACAUAGGUUUUGAUUUAUAUGUGUAAUUUUUAAAAGGAAAAAGUAACUUUUCUUACAGCACAUCUUUUUUUUUUUUUUGGAAUGUGGAACUGAGGUAUACAAUGUUCUGUUGUAAAGAGUGGAGCAAAUGCUUAAAACAAGGCUAAAAAGAGUAGAAUAGGGUAUGAUCCUUGUUUUAAGAUUGUAAUUCAUAAAAAUAAUAUAAUAAGAAUACUAGUGCCAUAGAUUGUUCUCAAUUGUAUAGUUAUAUUUGCUGAUACUAUCUCUUGUAAUAUAGACCUGAUGUUGAGCUGAGUUCCUUACAAGAAGUAAUAUUAAUUUUGUAUUUUUCCUGAAAGACAAUAGGCCAUGUUAAUUAAACUGAAGAAGGAUUUAUUCUACUGGGUGUUUUCAAAUGUGGGCUUAAAAUUGGCAACUGAAUGGAAGCAAAAUUACAAGAAAAGGAAAUCCAAGUCUUCCAUUGUAUAUAUUGUAAAGAGAAGGAGGCGAGAGUGAUCCCUUCAAAUCAAAAGCUCUCUUUGGAAUGAACAAUGUGGGUGUUUGUAAAUUCUGGAAAUGUCUUUCUAUUCAUAAUAAACUAGAUACUGUUGAUCUUUUCUUCUCUCCCUCCCCCUCCCCCUACUUCUAUAAGCUUCCCUCUCUAUUCCCAUCGGGUGUUUUUUCUGUUGCACAAGUUAUAAUAUUUCAUUUCCUGCAUUAUCUCGAGAAAAGUGGAAAGACAAGUGAGUGCUUGCUAACCAGAAAUUAAAAUUCCAGAAAGUGUUUUUUAUCAUGACCAGGGCUAUAUCUCACUUUCCUUAAGACCCUUAUCUCGUGUUUUCUGAGAACUCCCAGUGUUCUCGUAGAAAUUGAAUGUAAUUCUCCUGUUUGCCCUGAUGGGUACUGGCCUAUUAGUGUUUGGUUAUUAACACUCAGUAUACAGAGAGCAUAUCCAAACAUGAAGACCUGAUAUGGGAACAUCUAGCUAGCAGUGAAAAUCUUAAUCCUCUUCUUGUUUGCAAAAUAUAUGCAUCUUGGAAGUUUUCCAUGUGAGAUUAGAUGUGGCAGUGAACACAUUUCAAAGAUGUUACCUAUGGAAUUUUUAAUCUUUUGCCAGGAAACUUCCUAAAGGCUAAGUGAAUUAGUGCAAAUAUCAGGCUCCCUCUGAGUCAAUAUGAAGUCUAUAUUAGGAAUUGCUAGCCCUGCAAUUGGGAGGAGCAGUGUUUUAUUUCUCUGAAGGGUUGAGCUCCCUGGGUGGGGCUACAAGGAAGGGGCCUUGGUUGGAGCCCUGAUCAGCUGGUUACAGUCCCUUGCUGUCCUCGAAAGAGUAGAGAUAAUGGAACCCACACACUGCAGAGGCCCAUGUCACUGUUGAUUCAAAGAGAUGGCAUGUACCUCAAAGAUUGUUGUACAAUGUUCCUUGCUGCAGAUUUUAAUCAUUUGCAUGCUCAUCAAUUUCUGAGAUAAAUAGGUCGAUAGUCAUAAGAAUACAUUGUUUUCAAGAAAGUUGCUGAAUGACAUCAUUUCCUAUUCUAGGGAACACUACCAGUUUUGAAAAUCUGAUGUGAAAGUUUUUUUUUUUACUUUUGUAAAAAAAAAGACUAGCUUAUCAUUUUUCAAGUAUUCUGAUUCAUACCGUUUCUUACAGUAUAAGAAGGAAGCAAGCUACCCUGCUGUCUUCUACUAUGUACUUAACUAAAGAGAAAUCAGUGAGCACAGUCAGUCCCAACCAUUUUCCUAGAGAGCUGGUUAGUAUUUCUCAAAGAAACUAUUCUUUGAAUAUGUGUUAACCAAGAUACCUCUGCAUGUAGAAUUAUGGACAUAUUUUUGGGUGAGAACAGAAAGAAACAGACUGGAAAAAAUCCAUCUCUUAAUUUCUAUUUCUCUGACGUUUUGUGGAGCUGGAUAGCACAAAGGUAGAGAUUCUUUAAGCUGCUUCUGGUGGCACGUAGUUGGGUUUGAUGGUGGUACCGAGCCUUAUCGGCUUAAAACUGGAAGUUGCUGGUACUCAAGCCAAAAACUCGUGCCCUGGCUACACGAAAGGUUUACUUUGAGCAACAUCAGCUGCUAUGUUCUUGUGUGCAGUUCUUAUUGAAGAGAGUUGGCUUUUAUCCAUUUCAAAGUAUUUGUAGGGCAGCCAAUGGUUUACAGUAAUGGGGCUUCUCGUAGCCUCUGGUUAACCUAGACGUUCGUGGCCUUUUCUUCCUGAGACCAACCUUUCAGAGUGCUCUUUCUUAGAGACAUAGGCAGAGUUUAAAAAUUCUCCUUUGAGAAAAGAACAAGCGUGUUUUCUGACUUUGAUGAUGUCUUCAUUGUGGGCCAAAGAAUGGCCCUAGACCCAGCUAGAAGUGAAGAGACUCUGUUAACGAACAACUACCCGAGUCGAUAGUGACAAGUCACUACCGAUGUUACAGCAGUGGCUAUUUCUUGCCAACUUUUAAAGGUCAGGGAUUCUCUUGACUAAUUUAGUGACUGAAAAAAUGGAUCUACUUAAAAUCUUUUAGCCAGAAGUAGAAAUACCUAACCUUUCCCCCACUGGCUUUUGUCUUCUAGCUGUCAUUUAAAUCUGACCUGUUUAAAGUGUUAAACAAUGUUACCAUACCGUGAGAAAUGAGAUUUUACAAUAUCACAGCCCCGUUUUAUUCCAUCUUGCAUUGUGAAUCCAAUAUGCCGCACAGAUUCGUAAAUAUGUCUGCUGCAAGCAGUUUAAAGAUGGGAGAAAGGGCCACUCACUGUUACCAAGAGCCUUUCAAAAGUAGCGCGGACGCGGAGCACCCCUAACUGCUGUGACAGCGAUCCCAUGUUUGAUCUCGUGCUGCUUUGGUAGCGCUCUGUUGGUCCAUCACACGAGGAGGCCCUGAAACCAGACACUGGGAAUUCAGAUCUUGAUUAAGGAUAGAUGAGAUCCCUUUGGAAGGCUUGCAAAGGAGAAUGAGUGGAAGCUCACUAAUGAAUUUGUUUCUUUGCAGUGAGUGACGGGGCAGUUUGUGUUCUGAGGACGCAGUGAGUGUUAGCACUAGGUGAUGCUCUAUCUGUACAUGUAUAGGCUAUUGAGAGGAUGAAGCAUGCUCUUCCCAGGGAUGAGAGGAAUUACAGCCUUGCCAAUACUAAGACAAGGACCUCCAUCCAGGCUAUGAGCUUAGUUAAGGAGAACAAAAACAGCCUUUUCAUAACCAGUAGAUCAUCAAGGCUUAACCACUGGUGCCUUUGGUCAUUUCUAAACCAAGCCUGAGGUUCUUCCAUGGCUCUGGGAAUCAGUCUCAAGGUGUGGAUAGGAAAUGGGCGGGUCAGGUGGUAUGUUGGGUGUCUCACUGUCUGUUACUAAAGUGUCAGAUUAGGUGCUGGGAGGAAGUAGAAUAAUCAGAAGUGUUUGGACCUACUCUUAAGGAUUUUAUCAUUAAUAAAGAGCUUACCUUUAGCUAAUACGGUUAGAAAACAUAGGACUUAGAUGGAGAGUUAUCUUCCUUUCCUAGUUUGUCGAUGACUUGGCUUUUGUGAUGUUUACACCAAGAGAUCUGGUGUUUUAGGAUUUUGCCAUUCACCUGGCACUUAAAUUUCUCUCUUUGCUUCUGCUGUUGCUUUCCUCAGUGUUAGCCAACAUGCGAUAUAAUAGGACAAAUUCACUAAGCAGGAAAACUCGUCAGUGUUUGUGUAGACAUCUUUAGCAUAUUUUUUUUAGGUCUUUGCCAUUGGCUUCAGAAUGUAGUUCCAGAACAACUUUUCUCACGAAGUACUUUCCUUACCCUUCUUGGCUACAGGGUGGGCCAAAUAAAAACCAUGGAUCUUUUCA